AGAGUUUGAUCCUGGCUCAGGACGAACGCUGGCGGCGUGCUUAACACAUGCAAGUCGAAGGCACUUGGGGGCAACUCCAGGUGACUGGCGAACGGGUGCGUAACACGUGAGCGAUCUACCCUGGUGUGGGGGAUAGCCGGCCCAACGGCCGGGUAAUACCGCAUGCGCUUUGGUCCUUGCAUGAGGACUUCAGCAAAGCCUUCGGGCGCACUGGGAGGGGCUCGCGGCCUAUCAGCUCGUUGGCGGGGUAAUGGCCCACCAAGGCGACGACGGGUAGCUGGUCUGAGAGGAUGGCCAGCCACAUUGGGACUGAGAGACGGCCCAGACUCCUACGGGAGGCAGCAGUGGGGAAUCUUGCGCAAUGGGCGAAAGCCUGACGCAGCGACGCCGCGUGCGGGAGGACGGCCUUCGGGUCGUAAACCGCUGUUGCCCGGGACGAAUGCCCCUUUGGAGGGGAUUGACGGUACCGGGUGAGGAAGCACCGGCUAACUCCGUGCCAGCAGCCGCGGUAAUACGGAGGGUGCGAGCGUUGUCCGGAAUCACUGGGCGUAAAGGGCGCGUAGGCGGCGCGGGAAGGCGGCGGUGAAAGUCCGGGGCUCAACCCCGGAUCGGCCGUGGCGACUCCCGCGCUGGAGCACAGUAGAGGCGGGUGGAAUUCCGGGUGUAGCGGUGGAAUGCGCAGAUAUCAGGAGGAACACCGAUAGCGAAGGCAGCUCGCUGGGACGGUACUGACGCUAAGGCGCGAAAGCGUGGGGAGCGAACAGGAUUAGAUACCCCGGUAGUCC
rnacentral:rRNA from 1 species